rnacentral:rRNA from 1 species
AUUGAACGCUGGCGGCAGGCCUAACACAUGCAAGUCGAGCGGAUGAGUGGAGCUUGCUCCAUGAUUCAGCGGCGGACGGGUGAGUAAUGCCUAGGAAUCUGCCUGGUAGUGGGGGACAACGUUUCGAAAGGAACGCUAAUACCGCAUACGUCCUACGGGAGAAAGCAGGGGACCUUCGGGCCUUGCGCUAUCAGAGGAGCCUAGGUCGGAUUAGCUAGUUGGUGGGGUAACGGCUGACCAAGGCGACGAUCCGUAGCUGGUCUGAGAGGAUGAUCAGCCACACUGGAACUGAGACACGGUCCAGACUCCUACGGGAGGCAGCAGUGGGGAAUAUUGGACAAUGGGCGAAAGCCUGAUCCAGCCAUGCCGCGUGUGUGAAGAAGGUCUUCGGAUUGUAAAGCACUUUAAGUUGGGAGGAAGGGUUGUAAGCUAAUAUCUUGCAGCUUUGACGUUACCAACAGAAUAAGCACCGGCUAACUCUGUGCCAGCCGCCGCCGUAACAC